AUAGAUAUCGUAUAGCGGUUAUUACUUCCGAUUUCCACUCGGAUUACACCGGUUCGAAUCCGGUUAUCUAUA